rnacentral:lncRNA from 1 species
AAGGGUAAGGAAAAGAGGAAAACGGAAAAUUGGGAGAAUAGCUUCGGGUGGGGAAUCAAACGAGAAAGAGAACAAGAAAGAUAGACGAAAGGAAGAAGGAAUCAAAGGCCAAGAGGCCUGGCUACAUGAAGAAGCUGCCGGAAUUGCCGCACUUGCGAGGAGCCGCCACUACCUCGUCGGAAUCCACCACUGCCACCUGCGAAUCUUCACCGUGAGAGACCACUGUAAGUUAUCACCUUCCUUUACAUUUUGGUCUUCUUCCAAGCACAGGCCAUGAAAGUUUUCAGAGCAUGUCUGCCGUGAGCAUGUUGUUUCAAUUUCAUGUUGAUUGUUCAUGGUUUUUUGAAUACACAUGCUUUGUAUGAUGAUUGGACUGGAAUUUCUAAGUCUCUGACAAAUUUUUGGGCCGAUUAUAGUUUCAAUGCAUCAAAGAAUUAGUGAAAUUUCUAAUACCCCCAAUCUGUUCGAUGAAAUGCCUAGCUGAAAAUUCUUAUUGAAAGAUGUUUUGUUUGCAUUUUUCGUGUGAAGGAACCGGCUAAGUCGGCCAAUUCAUUUCCUCACGUUUGAGAAAUUUUGAUGCAUUGCUGUCUUGCAUUUUUCUGUUCCUUAUGCUUCCCAUCGUAUGAAUUCGAAUUAAGAUUGGGAGAGGAAAUUCUUGUGGGUUUCAUUGUCUAAUUGAGAAUAGUUGAAAUUGAAACCAAUUUUCUGGUGCUGCUGACUGAAAGGGGAGCUGAAAUGUUAACUGAUGAUAGCUCGGUGGAGAAGACAAUUAUUUGUCCAAAAUUGCAAUUUCAGUCCCUCCAGUUUGAUUUUGUUUUCUGAUUUAGCCCCAGAGUUCCCGAACUUCAUAAUUUUACCCCCAAAAUUGUUAUAAUUCUUUCAAUCAGGUCCCUGUUUUGGUUGUCUUUCAAAGCAUCCGCAUGAACAUUUUCAGAAUUUUGCAGUUUAAUCCCUCAAUUUUUUGCUUAAUUAUGCGAUUACCCUAAAAACUUAAUUUUCUUUCGAUUAAGUCCUUAUUUUAAUUACAAUUUGGUCCUUUUAUUUUGGUUUUCUUUAAUUUUGACCUUAAUGUUUGUAAUAAUAGGGAUUUGACUCCUAAAACUUUUUUUAAAAAUUCUUUCAAUUGGGUCCUUGUUUGUUUUAAUUUGUCAAAUAUGGGUUGUUUACUCUUAUGAGAAUGCUUUGAGUGAUUCAAUUUCAUGUUUAUCUCCAUUUCUUGUGGUUAUUUGUUAAUUAAAGUGAUGCAUUGACCUUUUCUUUAUUUUUGGAAGGUAAAUAAGUAACUUCACUUCAUUAGGGCACCAAUUCAAGAGAGGUACACUCUACUCCUUAUUUUGAUUUUUACUUGAC